AGUGAACGCUGGCGGUAGGCCUAACACAUGCAAGUCGAACGGCAGCACAGGAGAGCUUGCUCUCUGGGUGGCGAGUGGCGGACGGGUGAGGAAUACAUCGGAAUCUACUCUGUCGUGGGGGAUAACGUAGGGAAACUUACGCUAAUACCGCAUACGACCUACGGGUGAAAGCAGGGGACCUUCGGGCCUUGCGCGAUUGAAUGAGCCGAUGUCGGAUUAGCUAGUUGGCGGGGUAAAGGCCCACCAAGGCGACGAUCCGUAGCUGGUCUGAGCGGAUGAUCAGCCACCCUGGAGCUGAGACACGGUCCAGACUCCUACGGGAGGCAGCAGUGGGGAAUAUUGGACAAUGGGCGAAAGCCUGAUCCAGCCAUACCGCGUGGGUGAAGAAGGCCUUCGGGUUGUAAAGCCCUUUUGUUGGGAAAGAAAUCCAGCUGGCUAAUACCCGGUUGGGAUGACGGUACCCAAAGAAUAAGCACCGGCUAACUUCGUGCCAGCAGCCGCCGUAA
rnacentral:rRNA from 1 species